GACGAACGCUGGCGGCGCGCCUAACACAUGCAAGUCGAACGGAGCUGAGAGAAGCUUGCUUUUCUUAGCUUAGUGGCGCACGGGUGAGUAACGCGUGAGUAACCUGCCCUGGAGUGGGGGACAACAGUUGGAAACGACUGCUAAUACCGCAUAAGCCCACGAUCCGGCAUCGGAUUGAGGGAAAAGGAUUUAUUCGCUUCAGGAUGGACUCGCGUCCAAUUAGCUAGUUGGUGAGGUAACGGCCCACCAAGGCGACGAUUGGUAGCCGGACUGAGAGGUUGAACGGCCACAUUGGGACUGAGACACGGCCCAGACUCCUACGGGAGGCAGCAGUGGGGGAUAUUGCACAAUGGGGGAAACCCUGAUGCAGCGACGCCGCGUGGAGGAAGAAGGUUUUCGGAUUGUAAACUCCUGUCGUGAGGGACGAUAAUGACGGUACCUAACAAGAAAGCACCGGCUAACUACGUG
rnacentral:rRNA from 1 species